GUAGUCCACGCCGUAAACGAUGGAUGCUAGCUGUUAGGAGUAUCGACCCUCCUAGUAGCGUAGCUAACGCGUUAAGCAUCCCGCCUGUGGAGUACGGUCGCAAGACUAAAACAUAAAGGAAUUGACGGGGACCCGCACAAGCGGUGGAGCGUGUUGUUUAAUUCGAUGGUAAGCGAAGAACCUUACCCAGGUUUGACAUCCUGCUAAUCACUCCGAAAGGAGAGAGUGCCUUCGGGCCGCAGAGACAGGUGUUGCAUGGCCGUCGUCAGCUCGUGUCGUGAGAUGUUUGGUUAAGUCCAUCAACGAGCGCAACCCUUAUAGUUAGUUGUAUUUCUCUAGCUAGACUGCCCUGGUAACAGGGA
rnacentral:rRNA from 1 species